GAAAAUGUAGUACUUGUUUUAAUGCCUUUAACCGAAAGUUAGACCGUGUGUCUCUGCUUGAAAGGAUUCUUCAUUCAUCACUCCAAGCAACAUCUAAAAAAAGAUUGGAGGUGCAUCAUGUCUUUACAACUGAGGAGUCCACAAAUGAAGCAUUAAUCCCUGAAAGACAAAAUUGGACUUAUUCGUGCCUAGUGUUGCAGGGGGGCGCUGGAGCCUAUCUCAGCUACAAUUGGGUGGAAGGCGGGGUACACCGUGGACAAGUCGCCACAUCAUCGCAGGGCCAACACAGAU